rnacentral:lncRNA from 1 species
AUGAAGUCACUUAUGACUACCAUGCACCUAGGAAUGGUGAUACCACAAGAUAUCCUAGAAGAACUUUCAGGCCAGAGUUUGGUGAUAUCUUACUGUUUUUUUAUGCAAGGAAGAGCCCUGAGCUUCCCCUCAUCCACUGGCGAUGAACUACAGUUCCUUACAAAAAGUGUGUGAGAGCUGAGAGCAGCGACUGUAUAUUCUAUUCCUCUUUGUAUCUCAAGUGGCAUGUUGUAGGGGAAAGUUCAUCAUCUCUGGAAUCUUGGCUCUACCACCUCCCAGCUUCAUGAGCUUGUGCAUGGUACUUCCCCACGGUGGACUUCGGAUUUCUCAUCCAGAAAGUCAGAAUAAGCUCUUCUUGCUAGACUGUUGGCAAGAUUGGGUGAGAUGAUGUGAGUGAAGGGUGCAGUGUAUGGCCCAACCAUCCUCCCAGCUCUCAGUGCCACUUGGCCACCAUUUUGCUUGUCCCUAGAUUCAACUUUCAUUUCUAUUUCUGACAUCAACUCUUUCGAGAAAUUUUACUUAUUUCUUUACUAUUAGUGUCCCAACCAGUUGAAGCCCCACAUGACAUCACUGUUCUCUUUCUAUUGAAAAUAGACAUCCUUGCUUCCUAAUUCAUAGCAAAAAUGGAGUUAAU